rnacentral:ribozyme from 1 species
UUUUUUUUUUUUUUUUUUUUUUUUUUUUUUUUUUUUUUCU